rnacentral:rRNA from 1 species
AUUGAAUGCUGGCGGCAGGCCUAACACAUGCAAGUCGGGCUAGCGUCGGACGGGUGAGUAAUUUAUGGUGAUCUCCCUGAUGGAGGGGGAUAACUACUGUAAACGGUAGCUAAUACCGCAUACAAUCAGAUGUGCCCAGAUGGAAUUAGCUAGUCGGUGGGGUAAUGGCUCACCUAGGCGACGAUCCCUAGCUGGUCUGAGAGGAUGACCAGCCACACUGGAACUGAGACACGGUCCAGACUCCUACGGGAGGCAGCAGUGGGGAAUAUUGCACAAUGGGCGCAAGCCUGAUGCAGCCAUGCCGCGUGUAUGAAGAAGGCCUUCGGGUUGUAAAGUACUUUCAGCGAGGAGGCGUUACUCGCAGAAGAAGCACCGGCUAACUCCGUGCCAGCCGCCGCGGUAAUUC